GCUUGACUGUAGCUUGUAAUUGGGUUCGGGCUUUUUUGCGCAGCCUAGGUGGGAGGCAACGAUGAUUUUUUCCGGAAAAAUUUGAGCCGUUAGUGAGAGACCACUCUGAAAAGGCUAGAAUCCUAAUAAUGAUCCUUGAAUCAGGACAUUUGACAGUUGCAGGUGGCAGUUUUACUGGGGCGGUAUUCUCCUAAAAAGUAACGGAGGGUGCAAAGGUUCCCUCAAGCUGGACGGAAAUCAGCUUAAGAGUGUAAAGGCAAAAGGAGCUUGACUGCAAGACCUACAAGUCGAGCAGGGCGAAAGC
rnacentral:rRNA from 1 species